AAAUAAUAAGGUGGAAAGGUGAUUACUCUUGAGCCUUAUAAACACAUGCACGUAAAUCUCCCUGGCUUCUGCCCCCCAGGGCUAAAUGAUUGUGGACAUUUGACAAAGGUUAGAAUUACCUGCUGUGGGCAGGGACCUUGGUCAUAAUCCUGUCAUUUUCCAGAUAGAAAUGACUGACUGCGUCAUGGAAUUAUCUACAGCUAUGUGACUUUGGGGACUUGCUUCCUUUCUCUGGGCCUCAGUUUCUCCUUCGACAAACCAGGAAUAAUUCCUAAGUUUCUUUCCAGGUAAGUCUCUGUUCCUGCUUUUAACGCUAUUGUCUUGGAAAAAGUCAUGUAUAUGAGGCAAGAUUGAACAGAUAAAUAAAUGUGGUGAUGUUGAUGGAAGCCAGAGUUUUCACUGUGAUAAAACGGAAUAUGGAAGGAGGGAAGACAAAGAAAACCUUACAGGGUUAGAUUGGAAUUGGAGAUAUCAGUAGGAACAGGUAUUUCCUGUGUCUGUUGAAAGUGCAAGACGCAGUGACACCUCAGGAAUAACGAGCAUACUUAAAGCCUAGACGUUGGUUUCUAAAUGUCAUUCUGUACUAAAAGGAAGCAGGGCAAAUUGAAGAUAUGGCUCAGUCCAGGACUGGGACAGGGAAGAUAUAAGAUGAGCCUGGAACAUCUUAUUGUCUAGGAAGUGCUCAAAAAAUAAAAAUGGAGGCAUGUUAAAAGGACAGAGGAGCCAGCUUGAAGGGACUCCCAUUGUAUGCAUAUGGGACAAUUUCAGCAUCCAACAUUAAGAAGCAUAAUGGACUAUAACACAGUGAAUGAAAUAGGAAUCCAUGAAUGCAUACUGAUAAAUAAUAGGUAAACAAACAAAUAAACGAAGAAGAAAGGAAGGCUCUUCCUAACUGAUGCCAACUGAUAAAUGUGGAGAGAAUGGUGAAUCUGGGAAAACACUAUUUGCAACCAUCACAGAACAGAUUGUUUUAGGAAAGAUUUAUCAAUGGAGACCAAAUCUAGGGAGAAAAGUUUGGUGAGAAACGAAUAUUUGCAUCGUUCCAAACUGUUUCCACACAGAUUGCUUAUUCAUUGCAAGGGGAAAAUAGUUAUUCCACAGUGGAGAAAUUGGACAACACUUUACCUGGUGAUAAAAAUUAACAUCACUAACGUGUGGCAGAUGGACAAGGUGCCUUCAGAUAUGACACCCUAAGAAGGAUGCAUCAUGUAUGUGAUAUUCCAACUGGGCAUAUAUUACCUGAAUGGACUUAAGAGGAAAUAUCAGAUGUGACAAGUAAAUGCAAUAAAUAACCAUGAACUGCUGGAUCUCACACUGGAGAGAAACACUGCUAUAAAGGGCAUAACGGGGCAUUUAAUAAAAUUAGAAUAUAAGCUGUAGAUUAGACAAGCAUUGCACUAUUUAACUUUGUGAAUUUGAG
rnacentral:lncRNA from 1 species